CCUACGGGGGGCAGCAGUAGGGAAUAUUCCACAAUGAGCGAAAGCUUGAUGGAGCGACACAGCGUGAAGGAUGAAGGUUUUCGGACUGUAAACUUCUGUUAUAAGGGAAGAAACCCCUGGAGAGGAAAUGCUCUAGGAUUGACGGUACCUUAUUAGAAAGCGACGGCUAACUAUGUGCCAGCAGCCGCGGUAAUACAUAGGUCGCAAGCGUUAUCCGGAAUUAUUGGGCGUAAAGCGUUCGUAGGCGGUUUAUUAAGUCUGAAGUUAAAGCCUGGUGCUCAACACCAGCCCGCUUUGGAUACUGAUAGACUAGAGUUAUAUAGAGGUAAGUGGAAUUCCAUGUGAAGUGGUGGAAUACGUAGAUAUAUGGAAGAACACCAAUGGCGAAGGCAACUUACUGGAUAUUAACUGACGCUCAGGAACGACAGCGUGGGGAGCAAACAGGAUUAGAUACCCGGGUAGUC
rnacentral:rRNA from 1 species